rnacentral:rRNA from 1 species
UACAGAGGGGGCAAGCGUUGUUCGGAAUUACUGGGCGUAAAGGGCGCGUAGGCGGCCUGUUAAGUCGAACGUGAAAUCCCUGGGCUCAACCCAGGAACUGCGUCCGAUACUGGCAGGCUUGAAUCCGGGAGAGGGAUGUGGAAUUCCAGGUGUAGCGGUGAAAUGCGUAGAUAUCUGGAGGAACACCGGUGGCGAAGGCGGCAUCCUGGACCGGUAUUGACGCUGAGGUGCGAAAGCGUGGGGAGCAAACAGG